CAGUCGCCACGGGAAUACGAAGGGUGCAAGCGUUACUCGGAAUUACUGGGCGUAAAGCGUGCGUAGGUGGUGGUUUAAGUCCGUUGUGAAAGCCCUGGGCUCAACCUGGGAAUUGCAGUGGAUACUGGGUCACUAGAGUGUGGUAGAGGAUAGUGGAAUUUCCGGUGUAGCAGUGAAAUGCGUAGAGAUCGGAAGGAACAUCUGUGGCGAAGGCGACUAUCUGGGCCAACACUGACACUGAGGCACGAAAGCGUGGGGAGCAAACAGGAUUAGAUACCCUAGUAGUCCCUGUCUCUUAUAC
rnacentral:rRNA from 1 species